rnacentral:rRNA from 1 species
AGCAGCCGCGGUAAUUCCAGCUCCAAUAGCGUAUAUUAAAGUUGUUGCAGUUAAAAAGCUCGUAGUUGAACUUCGGGGUUCACCCAUUGGUCAGGCUUAAUUGUCUGUACUGGUGAGAUGAGUCUCUACCUUCUGAGGAACUUUCAUGCCAUUUAUUUGGUGUGAUUGGAAAUCAGGACUGUUACUUUGAAAAAAUUAGAGUGUUUAAAGCAGGCUAACGUCUGAAUACAUUAGCAUGGAAUAAUGAAAUAGGACGGAUUGAUUCUAUUUCGUUGGUUUCUAGGGUCACCGUAAUGAUUAAUAGGGAUAGUUGGGGGCAUUAGUAUUCAAUUGUCAGAGGUGAAGUUCUUGGAUUUAUUGAAGACUAACUACUGCGAAAGCAUUUGCCAAGGAUGUUUUCAUUAAUCAAGAACGAAAGUUAGGGGAUCGAAGACGAUCAGAUACCGUCGUAGUCUUAACCAUAAACUAUGCCGACUAGGGAUCGGACGCAGUUAAUUUUAUAAUGACGUGUUCAGCACCU